UACGUAGGGACCUAGCGUUGUCCGGAUUCAUUGGGCGUAAAGAGCUCGUAGGCGGCCACUCAAGUCGAAUGUGAAAUCUCGAGGCUCAACCUCGAGCCUGCAUUCGAUACUGGGCGGCUAGAGUCUGGUAGGGGGAUCUGGAAUUCCUGGUGUAGCGGUGGAAUGCGCAGAUAUCGGGAAGAACACCCGUGGCGAAGGCGGUUCUCUGGGACGGUACUGACGCUGAGACGCGAAAGCGUGGGGAGCGAACAGG
rnacentral:rRNA from 1 species